rnacentral:tRNA from 1 species
GCGCACGUGGCGGAAUUGGUAGACGCGCUAGCUUGAGGGGCUAGUGGGAAUUAUUCCCGUGGAAGUUCGAGUCUUCUCGUGCGCACAA